CUUGAGAAGGGCUGUCCCUAGUACGAGAGGACCGGGACGGACGAACCUCUGGUGUGCCAGUUGUUCUGCCAAGGGCAUGGCUGGUUGGCUACGUUCGGGAGGGAUAACCGCUGAAAGCAUCUAAGCGGGAAGCCUGCUUCGAGAUGAGGACUCCCACCCACUUGAUGGGGUAAGGCUCCCAGUAGACGACUGGGUUGAUAGGCCGGAUAUGGAAGCACGGUAACGUGUGGAGUUGACCGGUACUAAUAGGCCGAGGGCUUGUCCUC
rnacentral:rRNA from 1 species